rnacentral:rRNA from 1 species
AGGAUGAAUGCUGGCGGCGUGCCUAAUACAUGCAAGUCGAGCGGUAACAGGUCUAGUUUACUAGAUGCUGACGAGCGGCGGACGGCUGAGUAACGCGUGGGAAUUUGCCCCAAAGUGAGGGAUAACCGCCCGAAAGGGUGGCUAAUACCGCAUAUGGUCUUCGGAUUAAAGCUUUCGAGCGCUUUGGGAGAAGCCCGCGUCGGAUUAGGUUGUUGGUGAGGUAAUGGCUCACCAAGCCGACGAUCCGUAGCUGGUCUGAGAGGAUGAUCAGCCAGACUGGAACUGAGACACGGUCAGACUCCGUAGGGAGCAGCAAGUAAGAAUCUUACCACAAGUGGGACAAGCUGAUGGAGCAACGGCCGCGUGACGAGGAUGGAAGGUCCGUUAGGGUUAUAAACGUUGUACUUUUAG